UUGAACGCUGGCGGCAGGCCUAACACCUGCCAGUCGAACGGUAACAGGAAGAAGCUUGCUUCUUUGCUGACGAGUGGCGGACGGGUGAGUAAUGUCUGGGAAACUGCCUGAUGGAGGGGGAUAACUACUGGAAACGGUAGCUAAUACCGCAUAACGUCGCAAAACCAAAGAGGGGGACCUUCGGGCCUCUUGCCAUCGGACGUGCCCAGAUGGGAUUAGCUAGUAGGUGGGGUAACGGCUCACCUAGGCGACGAUCCCUAGCUGGUCUGAGAGGAUGACCAGCCACACUGGAACUGAGACACGGUCCAGACUCCUACGGGAGGCAGCAGUGGGGAAUAUUGCACAAUGGGCGCAAGCCUGAUGCAGCCAUGCCGCGUGUAUGAAGAAGGCCUUCGGGUUGUAAAGUACUUUCAGCGGGGAGGAAGGGAGUAAGGUUAAUACCUUUGCUCAUUGACGUUACCCGCAGAAGAAGCACCGGCUAACUCCGUG
rnacentral:rRNA from 1 species